AAAUGCAGUCGACGGCAGCAUAGGAGCUUGCUCCUGAUGGCGAGUGGCGAACGGGUGAGUAAUAUAUCGGAACGUGCCCUAGAGUGGGGGAUAACUAGUCGAAAGACUAGCUAAUACCGCAUACGAUCUACGGAUGAAAGUGGGGGAUCGCAAGACCUCAUGCUCCUGGAGCGGCCGAUAUCUGAUUAGCUAGUUGGUGGGGUAAAAGCCUACCAAGGCAACGAUCAGUAGCUGGUCUGAGAGGACGACCAGCCACACUGGGACUGAGACACGGCCCAGACUCCUACGGGAGGCAGCAGUGGGGAAUUUUGGACAAUGGGGGCAACCCUGAUCCAGCAAUGCCGCGUGAGUGAAGAAGGCCUUCGGGUUGUAAAGCUCUUUUGUCAGGGAAGAAACGGUAGUAGCGAAUAACUAUUACUAAUGACGGUACCUGAAGAAUAAGCACCGGCUAACUACGUGCCAGCAGCCGCGGUAAUACGUAGGGUGCAAGCGUUAAUCGGAAUUACUGGGCGUAAAGCGUGCGCAGGCGGUUGUGUAAGUCAGA
rnacentral:rRNA from 1 species